rnacentral:lncRNA from 1 species
UAGAUAAUUCUGCUGCAUAAUUCAAUACAAAUUCUAGUACUGGAUAGUUCAACUACUGAAUAAUUCUACUAGUGGAUAGUUCUACUAUUGGAGAGUUCUACUACUAGAUAGUUCAAUACAAAUUCAACCAUUACAUACUUAAAAUUCAUCACAGAUCUCCUUCAACUUCUUCACCUUGUCCUUAUAGCCAUGAUUCUGUUUCAUCGUAUCAGAAAUGAACUGCUCCAGCUUCUUCUUCUCUUCCUUCAUUUGGUCUCUCUCUAGCACGAGUUGGUCCCUCUUCUUCUCUGCCUUCGCCCUGAGUACCUG